CCUGUUUUGAGGAGCAAAAACCAGAAUGUCCAGGAAGGCUCUUUGAAGAUGUCUGUGAGUUUGCCUGGGGACAGCUCCUGGAAGGCAGUGUCCCCGCGACUAGGGCGAGCCCCGGACUCCCCACCAUCCCGGACUCCCCAACACCCAGAGGCGCGGCGCCGCGAGCAGGACAAAGUAGCAAAUACAGCACAACCCGCCUGAAACGCGGAAGUGGCCCGGAGACAACAUGGCGGCGUAGGCGUCAGGUGCCCUAACCUCGAGCCGGCGGCCAGGUCACUGAUGUGGGCUGAGUUCAGCUGGACGUGUCUCCAAGCUGAAGACUGGUCCCUGUCUUCUCCAUGUCUCUCACCUUCCUUGGACCAGUGGGUAUCUUUAGGCUGUUUUCUCAACUGUAAACAUCUUAUGACCAUGGGUCGUGACUGGCAAGGAAUGUGCCUUAGUCUCAAGAUGGAGCUGAACUUAAAAUGGUGUCACUCUGGCCUUCCUAGGCCCCGGCUUCCCUAAUAAUGGCAGAAGCAAAAACACAAGUUCAACUGCACAAACACAUUGUAAACCUUUGCUUGCAUCAGACCUGCCAAUAUCCUAUGGCCAAAGUAAAUGCACAUGGCUAAGCCCAGCAGAAAUGAAGCAGGGAAGUAUAUUCCUUCUGUAUGGGAGAGGGGAGUGUGAAAGGAAAAUAUUUUGGACCCCAAAAAUAUUUUCCUUUUUAUGAAGGAAAACUCAAGCUGGAAACUGCAUAAGGCAAACCUGCCUCUCAUUCUAUUUGAAGUUAUCCCUCUGCUCACUGAGAUAUAUGCACAUCUUACUUGCCUGCUUUGGAAACGCUAAUCAGAAACUCAAAAGAAUGCAACCGUUUGUGGCUCACUUAUCUAUGACCUGGAAUCCCCCUCUGUGCUUCGAGUCUUCCUGCCUUUGCUUCAAAUUGUCCUGCCUUUCCAGACCCAACCAAUGUAAUUCUUCUAUUGAUUG